AUUAGCUAGUUGGUGAGGUAAUGGCUCACCAAGGCGACGAUCCAUAGCUGGUUUGAGAGGAUGAUCAGCCACAUUGGGACUGAGACACGGCCCAAACUCCUACGGGAGGCAGCAGUGGGGAAUAUUGCACAAUGGGCGCAAGCCUGAUGCAGCCAUGCCGCGUGUGUGAAGAAGGCCUUCGGGUUGUAAAGCACUUUCAAUCAGGAGGAAAGGUUGUAAGUUAAUAAAUUGCAGCUGUGACGUUACUGACAGAAGAAGCACCGGCUAACUCCGUGCCAGCAGCCGCGGUAAUACGGAGGGUGCGAGCGUUAAUCGGAAUUACUGGGCGUAAAGCGUACGCAGGCGGUUUGUUAAGCGAGAUGUGAAAGCCCCGGGCUCAACCUGGGAACUGCAUUUCGAACUGGCAAACUAGAGUGUGAUAGAGGGUGGUAGAAU
rnacentral:rRNA from 1 species